AGUGAACGCUGGCGGUAGGCCUAACACAUGCAAGUCGAACGGCAGCACAGUAAGAUUUUGCUCUUACGGGUGGCGAGUGGCGGACGGGUGAGGAAUACAUCGGAUUCUACUUUUUCGUGGGGGAUAACGUAGGGAAACUUACGCUAAUACCGCAUACGACCUACGGGUGAAAGCAGUGGAUCUUCGGACCUUUCGUGUUUGAAUGAGCCGAUGUCGGAUUAGCUAGUUGGCGGGGUAAAGGCCCACCAAGGCGACGAUCCGUAGCUGGUCUGAGAGGAUGAUCAGCCACACUGGAACUGAGACACGGUCCAGACUCCUACGGGAGGCAGCAGUGGGGAAUAUUGGACAAUGGGCGCAAGCCUGAUCCAGCCAUACCGCGUGGGUGAAGAAGGCCUUCGGGUUGUAAAGCCCUUUUGUUAGGAAAGAAAAGAAGCAUGUUAAUACCCGGCUGUUCUGACGGUACCCAAAGAAUAAGCACCGGCUAACUUCGUG
rnacentral:rRNA from 1 species